rnacentral:rRNA from 1 species
AGCAAGUCGAACGCCCCCGCAAGGGGAGUGGCAGACGGGUGAGUAACGCGUGGGAACCUACCUAGAGGUGCGGAAUAGCCCAGGGAAACUUGGAGUAAUACCGCAUAAGCCCGCAAGGGGAAAGAUUUAUCGCCUUUAGAUGGGCCCGCGUCUGAUUAGCUAGUUGGUGAGGUAAUGGCUCACCAAGGCGACGAUCAGUAGCUGGUUUGAGAGAAUGACCAGCCACACUGGGACUGAGACACGGCCCAGACUCCUACGGGAGGCAGCAGUGGGGAAUCUUGGACAAUGGGGGCAACCCUGAUCCAGCCAUGCCGCGUGAGUGACGAAGGCCUUAGGGUUGUAAAGCUCUUUUGGCGGGGACGAUAAUGACGGUACCCGCAGAAUAAGUCCCGGCUAACUUCGUGCCAGCAGCCGCGGUAAUACGAAGGGGACUAGCGUUGUUCGGAAUUACUGGGCGUAAAGCGCACGUAGGCGGAUUUGUUAGUCAGGGGUGAAAUCCCGGGGCUCAACCUCGGAACUGCCUUUGAUACUGCAAGUCUUGAGUCCGGAAGAGGUGAGUGGAAUUCCUAGUGUAGAGGUGAAAUUCGUAGAUAUUASGAAGAACACCAGUGGCGAAGGCGGCUCACUGGUCCGGUACUGACGCUGAGGUGCGAAAGCGUGGGGAGCAAAACAGGAUUAGAUACCCUGGUAGUCCACGCCGUAAAACGAUGGAUGCUAGMCCGUCGGCAAGCUUGCUUGUCGGUGGCGCAGCUAACGCAUUAAGCAUCCCGCCUGUGGAGUACGGYCGCAAGGUUAAAACUCAAAGGAAUUGACGGGGGSCCCGCACARGCGGUGGGAGCAUGUGGUUUAA